rnacentral:piRNA from 1 species
UGAAUUCUACCCAGCCCCGUACCUGGU